CAAGUUGUCUCUUUGAGGUUUAUGGCCAUGACAGAGAAAGGGAACAGUAAGACAGACAUUUACAGCAGUCUUUGUGCUGACAAGCAGCAAGGAGCAAAGCUUCAGAUUUGCUCUUUUCAGCUCAAGUCAUCCAAUGCCUGGGGAGAUCUGCAGCCAAGGAAAAGCCUAUAACAGAGCCAUUCUUGAUCAAGUGCCUCUUGAACUACUGUGAUGGACUUUAAAAGACACGAUCCUUAUAAACAGAGAUUUCUCAAAAGAAAUCAUCUGAAUUGCUACCUCUGAGUACUGCUACACAACACUCUGGAGAGUCAGCAAAAUACAAGUUGAACUUGAAAAACAACUGAACAAGUAGAGAGGGAAUGUUCUGACAUUGGAACAAUACAGAGAAAAAUAUGCACACGCAUUAUGAACAAGAUCUGCCAUUCUAUACUGACAUAAAAGAAGCACUUCCCAGAAGCCUGAAACCUAGAAAAUGCAUUAAGGUUUAUCCUCCACAUCAACUGGAAGAUGAAAUCUCAGAAGUGGACACGUCUUUAAGCACUCUUUUUGGUGCCUGUGUAGUCUGCCUUCUGGAAGUUAGGAAAGAAGACAUGAACAUGAGACUGUGGAGUGCUUGGCUGCUGGACAGGGCCAAUACACCAUGCUUAUCCAAAUGCUUACCAAGUUUAUUCCAAGUUAGGAUCCUACCAGUCAUCUAAUGAAGAGCUUCUGUCUGUUAUACAUCAUGUAGGUGGUACUAGGAAGUUUUAGGUUAAAUAUCACACAAUGCUUACGCUUACAUACAUUUCAUCUCAAUACAGCUUUAAGUGCAGAAUGGCCGUCAAAGCUUGUCAUAACAAUUCAAAUUGAGAAGAAGGGGUUAAAAUACAAAUAAACUUGUCAUACUAGACUAAAAAUGAAAAUAAUUUAAGAUAGCAAAGAAAUAAAAACUGCAUUCAGUAUUGCCAUCAAAUCAUCAAAACUGUCUGAAGAGAUAAACAGCAUCAGGUGAGAAAUAGUUCUCUAAUGAAAACGUGUCAAAAAUAUAUGACAUUUCAUCACAUUCUUUCAAAAAAUCUGCUAAAAAGAGCUGCAGUACAAAC
ensembl:lncRNA